rnacentral:tRNA from 2 species
GCCGGUGUGGCGCAGUCCGGUAGCGCAGGCGACUUGUAAUCGUCAGGCCGUCGGUUCGAAUCCGACCACCGGCUCCA